UGAGGGGGAGAAUCUGAAUUUUUAGGAAAGCAAAAUCAUUAAAUAUAUAUAAGCCAAACAAUUGAUUGCAUGACAUGAAGGCUUAUAUAAUUCCAAAUGAAAGGAGGAGCCUUAACGUAGAAAUUUACUGUUUCACACCUUUCAAGUCUGGAUAAAUUAAAACUAACUAGACACUUGAAUUCAUUUCAAAAAUUUUAUUAUAAAUUUCCUUGUUUGUUGUGCAAUUCACUUUACAUAUACUCAAUGUUUUGUCAUCAUCAAAAAGGGGGAGAUUGUGGAGUGAUUGAUCAUAACCCUAUUUGAUUUUGAUGAACUCAAAGCAUUUGAGUAUAUCUUAUGUUUACUAAUGAAUUCAAUCUAGUGUUUCAGUGAAAAUCUUAUAAAUUUAUGGUUAAGUGCAUCUAGAUUUGGUUCAAAAUAUUUUGAAUAAGUUAAGAAGUUAAGUUGAACAAAAGUCUGAGACUCGAGUCGACUCCGGGAUAUUACGAGUCGACUCCAGGCAUAUCAGAAGCAUUGGCACAGGCUCGAGUUGACUCCGGAACGUUAUGAGUCGACUCCGACUGAGAACUGACAGACGAACAGAAAGACUCAACUCAAAACCUGUCAGUGAGUCGACUCCUGAAGUGCGCGAGUCGACUCCGAUGCUUACCGAGUCGACUCCGGAGUAGUAUGAGUCG
rnacentral:lncRNA from 1 species